GCCGCGGGGCGGCCGGAGGGACCCCAGCGCCCGGCACCGCUCCCUGUCCCUGUGCCGCGAGCUGGAGCCUUACGCGGCCGUCCUGACCGGC